rnacentral:rRNA from 1 species
AGGCGGAAUCGCUAGUAAUCGCGGAUCAGCAUGCCGCGGUGAAUACGUUCCCAGGCCUUGUACACACCGCCCGUCACACCAUGGGAGUUGGGUUCACCCGAAGGCGUUGCGCUAACUCGUAAGAGAGGCAGGCGACCACGGUGGGCUUAGCGACUGGGGUGAAGUCGUAACAAGGUAGCCGUAGGGGAACCUGCGGCUGGAUCACCUCCUUUCUAAGG